rnacentral:snoRNA from 1 species
AAGCUACACUCUGUGGCAGAAGUCUGCAAAGACGAUGAUCUGUCUCAAUUUGAGCUUUGCUACAGAAAUGUCCUGUCUUCUCUCUCUGCGGCGUCCUCUCUGGACGUUCUGCUGCAGACAUGAUGGGGGACAUUCACAGC